AACACGGGAAAUAACUAGUUGCUUAAGCGUUCACGUUAGGGUCACACAAUCAAUUACCUCCUGAAUGUAUCGUCUCUAUUUCCAAUAUUUGAACACACAAGGAAACUACAAUCUCCUCCUUCACCUUAUCGGUCUCUUCUUUACAGCAAUUCAGUCAUACCAAUAACUACUAUUUCCACCAAUAUUUUUACCCUCAUAAUCUCCAAUUGUAAUACUGCGCCCUCAUAGCUUUCAGCAGACAAUUAUCCUCAUUCCAAUCUCUAGAAUUCUUCACACAGAACUGCCAUUCAUAUUACAAUGUUUCACACAAAUACAGACUCAUUCUCUCUGCUGAACUACAAUCAGAUUUCAGCAUUCAAUCUUUCUUCUUCUCAAAUAAUACCAAUCAUAUUUCCAUUCCAUAAUUCACUUCACAAUAUUCAGAAACUUUCAAUCCUCUUAUUCAAAGAAAAUAACAAACAAAAGAAAAGAGGUA
rnacentral:lncRNA from 1 species